rnacentral:lncRNA from 1 species
UAAUAGUCCCCUGGGAAUUGAAAUCAGAAGAGUAGCUAUUUCUAGGAUAAAAGAAGAAUUACCUGAAAAGGAAUAAGAGGGAUUUCUCUGUGAGGAUGAAAUGUCUGAAUCCUAAUUUGGUGUGCUGUUAAUAGGUUAUGGAGUGAUCCUCUCCCAACAGAGGUUAUGGAGUGAUCUCGUCUGCAGAGGAGAAGGACAAAAAGGCAGAGGAAUCCCUCAUUUCAAAAGAGAUUAAGGAGUUGUGAAAACAGUAUCAAAUUUUGUAGAAAAGCCGCACUAUCAGAGAACAGUAUGUUGAAUGAGCAGAUUUGCACCAGGGAAAGGAAAAUGGCAUGCGCAUUGAAGGCAUUGGGUUUAGGAAUUUAAAGUGUUGUACCAGUCUUUGGAAGUCUCUUAUCAGGGCUUCCAGAGCACGACUGACAAUGUGAUAGGGUGCUGAGUCAUGUCAACUUGUAUUUACUGUGUGUGUCCUAUCCCAUAAUUCACUCUGUUAUAAUUGGAUGUGUGAAAUACGGUCCUUCAAUAUGCAUGAAUCUUCAAGGCAUUCCAGGUGAAGAAAGGUUUCUGUAGGCCAUGCAGGAGGAUUUGGCAGAAAUGUGUCCUGGUUAGGGAUUUGGGGAAUUUUUUAGGGCAGCCUCCGGGGUCUUUGUUUUUCUCAUCCCUGCCUCCAGAGAAUGGGCCUCAGGACAAAGGGGAAGGGGGUAAUGACACUUGAUCCUGGUUGCCCAGGUUCAGGUGAGUGGAAGGGAAGUUGUCCAUUGUAUAGUGUGAUAAUUUGAUAUGAAUGUAUACAAUGUGUGAUGAUCAAAUCAGGUGGCUAAUACUUCUAUUUCCUACAUUUUAAAAAUUUUGGACUAACACAUAGUACAGUAAUUGUACAUAUUGAUGAAGUACAGUAGGAUAUUUCAGUGCAUGUGUUCAAUAUGUAUUAAUGAAAUUUGGGUAAUU